AGAGUUUGAUCCUGGCUCAGAACGAACGCUGGCGGCACGCUUAACACAUGCAAGUCGAACGGAAUAUUAUGCUUCGGUAUAGUAUUUAGUGGCGGACGGGUGAGUAACACGUGGGAACCUGCCCUGUAGAGGGGGAUAACUGCUGGAAACGGCAGCUAAUACCGCAUACGCCCUGAGGGGGAAAGAUUUAUCACUAUAGG
rnacentral:rRNA from 1 species